UACGAAGGGUGCAAGCGUUACUCGGAAUUACUGGGCGUAAAGCGUGCGUAGGUGGUUCGUUAAGUCUGAUGUGAAAGCCCCGGGCUCAACCUGGGAAUGGCGAUGGAUACUGGCUCGCUAGAGUGCGGUAGAGGAGAGUGGAAUUCCCGGUGUAGCAGUGAAAUGCGUAGAGAUCGGGAGGAACAUCAGUUGCGAAGGCGGCUCUCUGGACCAGCACUGACACUGAGGCACGAAAGCGUGGGGAGCAAACAGG
rnacentral:rRNA from 1 species